GACGAACGCUGGCGGCGUGCUUAACACAUGCAAGUCGAACGGUAAGGCCCUUCGGGGUACACGAGCGGCGAACGGGUGGGUAACACGUGGGUGAUCUGCCCUGCACUUCGGGAUAAGCCUGGGAAACUGGGGCUAAUACCGGGUAGGACCAAUGCCUGCAUGGGUGGUGGUGGAAAGCUUUUGCGGUGUGGGAUGGGCCCGCGGCCUAUCAGCUUGUUGGUGGGGUGAUGGCCGACCAAGGCGACGACGGGUAGCCGGCCUGAGCGGGUGACCGGCCACACUGGGACGGAGACACGGCCCAGACUCCUGCGGGAGGCAGCAGUGGGGAAGAGUGCACAAUGGGCGCAAGCCUGUUGCAGGGACGCCGCGUGAGGGAUGACGGCCUUCGGGUUGUAAACCUCUUUCAGCAGCGACGAAGCGCAAGUGACGGUAGGUGCAGAAGAAGGACCGGCCAACUACGUGCCAGCCGCCGCGGUAA
rnacentral:rRNA from 1 species